ensembl:lncRNA
UUUUAAUACACUUUUGGAUUCUUUCCACACCUUGGCAUGAAGCCACAUCUAGUUAAAAUGUAUGACCUUAUAUGAUCUGCAUAAUAAUUGCAAUCUCCCUUGAUGUGUUUGUAAUUGAAGCUGUAUGGUGCAUCCCUCUUUUUUUCUGAUAAUUUAUUUAAUUGUAUUUAUUUAUUUUUGUUUGUGUGUAUGUGUGUUUCUUUCUGUUUUUAACCCUAAAAGAGCUGUCUGUAUAGUGCUCGUCUUGCAGCCUAGCUCUUUAGAGACUGAUGCCUCUGUAAAGCUUCUGUAGAAGCCUGAGCAUUCUGCUUGACCAAUUGUCCAAACAGACAGAGAUGUCAUUGAGGAUCUAAGUGAGAAAUAACACUUUUGCCUGUCUUCACAUUCCUCUGUCCGGCCCAGUGUAUGAACACAGUGUGUGUGGGAUAGCAAAAAAGAAGAAAAGACUACUCUUGUUUCAUCCCUUUGGCUGGUAUAUUAGUCUGAGUCUGCCAUUGUUUUGUUUUUUGUUUUUUUCUGGGUUGUUUUGAGCUAGUUUACAGUAAUGCUUUAAUUAUAAGUUAUGCUUAAUUUAAAAAAAACCAAACAAACAAUAUACAUUACUAAUCUAAAUUUAGAUGAACGUAAAUAAAGUUUAUCUGUGAAAGAAAAGCAGAAAACUGUUACAACAGGAUAAAACGACAUACCAUAAUUUUGAAAGUGCUGCAUUUAAUUUAAGAAUUUUUGACAGAGAGGGACGUGCUCAUAUGGUCUCAGUGGGCCAACUGAUAAUCCUUUCACUCAUAUCCGUAGCACACAUGCUAAGACACACAUGCCAGGUGACACAGCUAACCAUGCCAAAGGAGAUGUAUUACAUCAUGUGGGAUUUCAUAAGGAGAGCUUCCUAUAAUUAUCUAAAAACAGUCAGCCAAUCAGAGAUUAAAAUGAAAUUUGAGGAUGCAGUAGGAUUUCCCCUCUGCAGACGUAUCUAUCGAUUUUAUAAUUAACAUAGUGUAUUAUUAGACAAACACAUUCACUCUGUGGAAAAUUCUAAAACGGCUAUGCGAACAUGAAAUAAACGCAAUAAAAAAAAAAAACUUACCAAAGUUACAAGAUCAAAUCACUGUGUUCCUUAAAUGCGUUUCUGUUUGACAUGCUCAAGUGCUUAUUCAGUGCUACUUGAGGGUAAAGAGGUGACUAAAUGUAUUGUUAUUCUAUGAGAAUCAUCUCCAAUCCGUCUCCCAACCAAGUUUCUAGCGAGACAGUUCCUGCCCCCUUCCACACACAGACGCACAUAUUGCUGCCAAGUCAAUGGUUGCUGUGGUAACCUGUAACCCUCCUAUUAGUGCUCAAUCUUGACUGAAACCCACUACAGAGUAAGACCAAAAUGUAUCUUUACUGAUCUGGCAGUGUUACAGAGGAUAAUGGUGGGAAACAGUACAAUAGUAUUUGUGGACCUAGUUUACUGUAUGUUUGCUGUGGAUGGAAUUGAUUUGUAUAUUGCCAACUAUUUUCCAAAAUAUAGAUGAAUUUUUCUCAUGGCUGUUUUUUUUUUCCCCUUUGUUCUUUUUUCAUUUGCUUUGUUUAGCUUCAAAGCAAGGAUUACUAGGAACUUUCACUAAAAUUGCUUUGUUGCUCUGUUGGUUUAGACAUUUCUAUACUUAUUUACUGUGGGAACCUGCAGUUGUAAACAAAAAGAGUCUAAAAGGUAAAUAGUCCAGUCUUUUGUUGGUUUGUUGUUUUUGUUAUUUGAAAUUCAUAUUAAAGUCAUAUAUAUUUAAUUUGAUUUUAUUUACGCAAGUCACUAUAGGAGACUGCACUGCAAGGAAUGAUAAGAUUCUUGUCACUGUCCUGAAUGAAUCCUUUGUUCUUAAUGCGAUCUGUUAAGGUCUAUAAGGCACAUUUACUCCUCCUCUUUUCCAUUUUUUGUGACAUUGCUCUGACGUCUCUACGACUAAAGUGUCCAACUGCCCUCUGUCUGACCCUCCACUGCCAUUUUGUAUGGCUCAUAAACCUCCACGCCUCUCACCCCCUGCAAGUACUACCAUCCACCCAGCUCCGCCAUGGGUACAACACUGGUCUUAGCCACUCCAACACAACUGAGUGACCAAACUCAAUUACAUGUCCCAUUU